AACGCUGGCGGCGUGCCUAACACAUGCAAGUCGAACGCGAGGGUCCCGCAAGGGACUAGUAGAGUGGCAAACGGGUGAGUAACACGUGGGUGACCUGCCUUCGAGUGGGGGAUAACGUCCCGAAAGGGACGCUAAUACCGCAUGACAUCCUGCCCUUGAAUGGGUGGAGAUCAAAGCUGGGGAUCGCAAGACCUAGCGCUUGAAGAGGGGCCCGCGUCCGAUUAGCUAGUUGGUGAGGUAACGGCUCACCAAGGCAACGAUCGGUAGCCGGCCUGAGAGGGCGGACGGCCACMCUGGGACUGAGACACGGCCCAGACUCCUACGGGAGGCAGCAGUGGGGAAUUGUUCACAAUGGGCGCAAGCCUGAUGACGCAACGCCGCGUGGAGGAUGAAGAUCUUCGGGUCGUAAACUCCUUUCGAUCGAGACGAAUGGCUUCCGGGCUAAUCACCGGGAGAAUGACGGUACCGAGAG
rnacentral:rRNA from 1 species